rnacentral:rRNA from 1 species
UAACAAGGAUUCCCCUAGUAACUGCGAGUGAAGCGGGAAAAGCUCAAAUUUAAAAUCUGGCGGUCUCUGGCCGUCCGAGUUGUAGUCUGGAGAAGUGCUUUCCGCGCUGGACCGUGUAUAAGUCUCUUGGAACAGAGCGUCAUAGAGGGUGAGAAUCCCGUCUUUGACACGGACUACCAGUGCUUUGUGAUGCGCUCUCAAAGAGUCGAGUUGUUUGGGAAUGCAGCUCAAAAUGGGUGGUGAAUUCCAUCUAAAGCUAAAUAUUGGCGAGAGACCGAUAGCGAACAAGUACCGUGAGGGAAAGAUGAAAAGCACUUUGGAAAGAGAGUUAAACAGUACGUGAAAUUGCUGAAAGGGAAACGCUUGAAGUCAGUCGCGUUGUCCGGAACUCAGCCUUGCUUUUGCUUGGUGCACUUUCCGGAUGACGGGUCAGCAUCGAUUUUGACCGUCGGAAAAGGGCUGGAGUAAUGUGGCACCUCCGGGUGUGUUAUAGACUCUGGUCGCAUACGGCGGUUGGGAUCGAGGAACGCAGCGCGCCGCAAGGCAGGGGUUCGCCCACUUUCGCGCUUAGGAUGCUGGCAUAAUGGCUUUAAACGACCCGUCUUGAAACACGGACCAAGGAGUCUAACAUACCUGCAAGUGUUUGGGUGGUAAACCCGAGCGCGUAAUGAAAGUGAAAGUUGAGAUCCCUGUCGUGGGGAGCAUCGACGCCCGGACCAGACGUUCUCUGACGGAUCCGCGGUAGAGCAUGUAUGUUGGGACCCGAAAGAUGGUGAACUAUGCCUGAAUAGGGUGAAGCCAGAGGAAACUCUGGUGGAGGCUCGUAGCGAUUCUGACGUGCAAAUCGAUCGUCAAAUUUGGG